UAUUUCAGUUCGUUUCACUGUGAGUGAGAUUAUAAAUUUCCGGUUCACAACCUUUCUUCUCCACCGUUUUCAAUCCUGCAAACACCCUUCAACAGUUUUUCCCCACUCGUUGCUUAUUGACACUUCUCCUUCUUCGGAAUUCACCCCUUUUCGAAAUAAUUUAUUCGUGUUUCCCUCCAAAAAAACCCUAGCUAGCUUCCAUGGCGUCCAAGAAGAAGCACUCAGAGGGCAUCGCCUUGUUGUCCAUGUACAACGACGAGGAAGACGACGAAAUGGAGGACGCAGAAGACGACGACGGCGAAGAAGAAGAAGUUGAUGCAGGGAUGCGAAUGGAAGAAGAUGUCGCCGGAGAUGCGAAAUUUUCGGCGGGGGAAGAUUCCGCCAAUAGAACAGCCGCCGUUGAUUCCGGCAACGAAGGCGGCGCGGAUGUGGGGUUCAUUCCGGCGGAGAAGAGUAGGGUUGGGACUUCGACACCGCAGACGAACAAUUUGAUCUCUCCACCGCUGGAGCAACCGAGGAUUGGUCGGAAAGGGGCUCUUACGAUAGUGGAUUAUGGGCAUGACGAAGUGGCAAUGUCACCUGAGCCUGAGGAGGGAGAGAUAUAUGGUAGCGGUAGAGUCAUGAUUGGGGACCAGCUUCAUGUGAGCAAUAGUGAUUUGCAAGACAGAUCACCAUUGGGAACAGUCCAAGUUUUGACACCUAGCAAUCAAGCUAACACUCCCCAGUUCUCUGAGCCAUUGAAAUCUGAUACCAUGAACAAAGAUGCUAUGAUCAGAUCAGAUGAUGCUGAAUUUGGAGAAGCAGAUCAAGAUGAGCAAAAAUAUGUAGAUCCAUUGGAUAAAUUUCUCCCUCCCCCAUCAAAAACUAAAUGCUCUGAGGAGUUACAAAGAAAAAUAAACAAAUUCCUGGAGUAUAAGAAGGCUGGAAAAAGUUUUAAUGCAGAAGUUCGCAACAGGAAGGACUAUCGAAACCCUGACUUCUUACUGCAUGCAGUGAGGUACCAGGAUAUUGAUCAAAUAGGGUCUUGCUUCAGUAAAGAUGUAUUUGACCCUCAUGGAUAUGAUCCAAGUGAUUUCUAUGAUGAAAUAGAAGCUGAUAUGAGGCGCGAAAGUGAGAGGAAAGAGCAAGAAAAGAAGAAAGCACAGAAGGUUGAAUUUAUUUCGGGGGGUGCACAACCGGGAAUUGUAGCUAGCGCUUCUAGGAUUAGCAUGCCCAUUGCAGGUGCUUCUGCUGUGACUGCAAGUGGUUUGCCUUUGGUGCCUCCUACAGCCGAUUCUAUUAAUCGGGAUGGUAGACAGAAUAAAAAAUCAAAAUGGGAUAAGAUAGGUGGAUGGUGAUAAAAAAAAUCCUCUGCCCUCUGCGGGGCAGGAUUCUGUAUCUACUAUUGGGGUUCAUGCAGCCAUUUUAUCUGCUGCUAAUGCCGGCGGUGGAUAUAUGCAAUUUGCGCAACAAAAACGACGGGAGGCUGAGGAGAAAAGAUCCACUGAAAGGAGGUUAGAGAGAAGGUCGUGAGCCAUUCAGUGUGGGGCUGUAGUAUCGAACAUUGCGGAUAAGCUGUGGCAGAGAUUUCUCUGAAACAUUUUGUCUGUUAAAUAACUUUGGCAAUGAUCGCAGACACUGUAUAUCUCGAACUUGAAAAGAAAUUUCCUGCUCCAACCGUGCCCUUAGCUGGAAUAAUUCUUCCAAUUCCAGUACUUGUGUCCCAUGAUAUGGUUGAUUGAUCGGUUCGUUGCUAAUGCCUAAUUUUUAUUUGAUUAUUGCUUGCAUAUUUUAUUAUGCAGCGACCUCAUCCUGUGGGAUAAGCUUUACUGCUUUAGUGCUUGCAUAUUUUAUUAGUCUAUUACCUUCAUUAUUGUCAUUAUUUCCAA